UUUUCCCCUUAAAAUAAGGAAAAUUUGCUUCUACCUCACAGGGAUCUUUUUGCCUUGCUCUGGAUCAAACUGCAGGAUAACAGGCUGAACUGGACGGACAGAUGUCUUUUUACAGCCUUAUAAACUGUUAAUAUG